rnacentral:rRNA from 1 species
UACGUAGGGACCAAGCGUUGUUCGGAUUUACUGGGCGUAAAGGGCGCGUAGGCGGCGUGUUAAGUCACUUGUGAAAUCUCUAAGCUUAACUCAGAACGGCCAAGUGAUACUGCAGUGCUAGAGUAGUGGAAGGGCAAUCGGAAUUCUUGGUGUAGUGGUGAAAUGCGUAGAUAUCGGGGAGGAACACCAGUGGCGAAGGCGACUUUCUGGCCUGUUCUUGACGCUGAGGCGCGAAAGCUAGGGGAGCAAACGGG